rnacentral:rRNA from 1 species
UUUCGAAUCAUUCACAAUGGGCGCAAGCCUGAUGGUGCGACGCCGCGUGAGGGAUGAAGGUCUUCGGAUUGUAAACCUCUGUCACUGGGGAGAAAACGCUUUGAGUUAAUAGUUCAAAGCCUGAUUUAACCCGGAGAGGAAGCAGUGGCUAACUCUGUGCCAGCAGCCGCGGUAAUACAGAGACUGCAAGCGUUAUUCGGAUUCACUGGGCGUAAAGGGUGCGCAGGCGGUUGGGUGUGUCAGAUGUGAAAUCCCGAGGCUUAACCUCGGAACUGCGUCUGAAACUACUCGACUAGAGUACUGGAGAGGGAAACGGAAUUCACGGUGUAGCAGUGAAAUGCGUAGAUAUCGUGAAAAACACCAGAGGCGAAGGCGGUUUCCUGGACAGUUACUGACGCUCAG